GGGACAUUUAAAAGUAUUGACAGAUAGGUGUCAUUUACACUGAGGACGCUGGGGACAGGUCUUGAGCAAACACGAAGUCCUGGGAUGGCAGUAGCAGAAUGAAAUGGAUGCUUCUAUAGUUUUGCAGGGAUCCCAAAGCUGGAGUGGCCUGCAGUGGAGAUUGAGGGACUGACUGAACAGGCCGUAGGGAAGGAGUGUGGUCAGUGGAGCUGCUGGACAUGUUGGACUGAGCGAGUGACUGUUGCCCCACUGCUGAGAGCUGGCACUGCACUCUUAAUCCCACUUUUAGUAUAGUUCCCUUUUAAACUUUGUGCUAGCACCAUAUUGAUUUUACAUUAUAUUUUAUUUUAAAUUGUAUUAAAAACUGUUUUAGUUCAGUGUGG